rnacentral:lncRNA from 13 species
UCAGGCAGUUAAGAACGAUACCCUUUCCCUACCUGUGGUGUUGGAAGAGUCUGCAUGGAGAUGAAGAUGCAUCAACACAUUGGAAAGAUGUUUGUGGUGCACUCAAGCUUGACAAGAAGCAAUCAGUUGCCAGGAAAAAAGACAGAUUGAAGUCUUCAAUCAAACGGACAUAGAAAUAUGUGUGCACCAGGCCAAGACUUCUUGCAUGCAUGGCCUUGAGAUGUAAGUCAACAAUAAUUUAUUUUUGAAAAAUAAAAUGAAUUAGCACAUUAUGCAUAACUCAAUUUUAUGUUGUUUUUCUUCCACCCUCGCCUUAUACACCUGAGUCAGGAAGAAGAGACAACGAUGUCGUGAUGUGACUUGCAUUACUGU